rnacentral:rRNA from 1 species
ACCAGACUCCUACGGGAGGCAGCAGUGAGGAAUAUUGGUCAAUGGCCGGAAGGCUGAACCAGCCAAGUCGCGUGAGGGAAUAAGGCCCUAUGGGUCGUAAACCUCUUUUGUCAGGGAGCAAAGGCGUCCACGUGUGGACGAGAGGAGAGUACCUGAAGAAAAAGCAUCGGCUAACUCCGUGCCAGCAGCCGCGGUAAUACGGAGGAUGCGAGCGUUAUCCGGAUUUAUUGGGUUUAAAGGGCGCGUAGGCGGAGUGUCAAGUCAGCGGUAAAAUUUCGGGGCUCAACCCCGUCGUGCCGUUGAAACUGGCUGUCUUGAGGUGUCGAGAGGUAUGCGGAAUGCGCAGUGUAGCGGUGAAAUGCUUAGAUAUUGCGCAGAACUCCGAUUGCGAAGGCAGCAUACCGGCGGCGAUCUGACGCUGAGGCACGAAAGUGCGGGUAUCGAGCAGGAUUAGAUACCCUAGUA